rnacentral:rRNA from 1 species
AGAGUUUGAUUCUGGCUCAGGAUGAACGCUAGCUACAGGCUUAACACAUGCAAGUCGAGGGGCAGCAUUAUCGAAGCUUGCUUGAUAGAUGGCGACCGGCGCACGGGUGAGUAACGCGUAUCCAACCUUCCCAUCACUCAGGGAUAGCCCGCCGAAAGGCGAAUUAAUACCUGAUGGUCUCCUUCGCGGACAUCUAACGAGGAGUAAAGAUUCAUUGGUGAUGGAUGGGGAUGCGUCUGAUUAGGUAGUAGGCGGGGUAACGGCCCACCUAGCCUACGAUCAGUAGGGGUUCUGAGAGGAAGGUCCCCCACAUUGGAACUGAGACACGGUCCAAACUCCUACGGGAGGCAGCAGUGAGGAAUAUUGGUCAAUGGACGGAAGUCUGAACCAGCCAAGUAGCGUGCAGGAUGACGGCCCUAUGGGUUGUAAACUGCUUUUGUGCGGGAAUAAAGUAUGGGACGUGUCCCGUUUUGCAUGUACCGCACGAAUAAGGACCGGCUAAUUCCGUGCCAGCCGCUGC